rnacentral:misc_RNA from 1 species
UGGCUUUACACGAACUGACUGAAGAGGUAUAAAUGUCUGAGGAGGAAGCCUUUGCUCUUUCAAAUACUUAAUGCACUCUUUUCCUGUAUUUUCGUCUUCAACCACUACUGCAUCCAUGAAUUUACCCAUAGCUACAGUAACAGCAAGAUUGUACUUCUUCUGGGUUGGCCUGCAGAGGUCAGUCAUCCGACCAUGAACUCCUUGAAAUAGGCGCUUGAGAGUCUCAACUGCCUGAGACAACCUAGCAUCUCUCUCAUUCUCAUGUCUAUCCGCUUUCACUUCACGUAGUUGGAUUUCUACUUCACCAAUUCUAGACUUCAGAUUCUCAUAUUUAUUCCUAGAAUCUCGAUGUUUAUCU